rnacentral:rRNA from 1 species
AUUGAACGCUGGCGGCAUGCUUUACACAUGCAAGUCGAACGGUAACAGGUCUUCGGAUGCUGACGAGUGGCGAACGGGUGAGUAAUGCAUCGGAACGUGCCCAGUCGUGGGGGAUAACGCAGCGAAAGCUGUGCUAAUACCGCAUACGAUCUAUGGAUGAAAGCGGGGGACCGUAAGGCCUCGCGCGAUUGGAGCGGCCGAUGUCAGAUUAGGUAGUUGGUGGGGUAAAGGCCCACCAAGCCAACGAUCUGUAGCUGGUCUGAGAGGACGACCAGCCACACUGGGACUGAGACACGGCCCAGACUCCUACGGGAGGCAGCAGUGGGGAAUUUUGGACAAUGGGCGCAAGCCUGAUCCAGCAAUGCCGCGUGCAGGAAGAAGGCCUUCGGGUUGUAAACUGCUUUUGUACGGAACGAAAAGGCUCUGGUUAAUACCUGGGGCACAUGACGGUACCGUAAGAAUAAGCACCGGCCAACUACGUGCCAGCCGCCGCAGUAAAAC